rnacentral:lncRNA from 1 species
AUAUUUAACUAGAGGCUCUAAAGAGCCUGUGUCGCUCACCUUGGUAUAUGUGAAUUAAACAAAGGAAGCAGACAGUUCAUGACAAAAUUGUGCUUAGGUGAUUGUGAUGUGUUUGUACAUCUUACUUUACUGAACAUUCUUGCUGCUUACAAUUAUCUCUAUCUAUAAUGAACUUGUCCGUGUAGUUUCAGUGGAAAAUGUUAGUAAAAAUUUACAAAUUUUAUGAAUAUUGUUAAAAAUUGAUUAUAAAGGACAAUAACUUCUUAGGGGGUCAAUUGACCAUUUUGGUCAUUUUGACUUAUUUUUAAGUCUUAAAUUGCUGUACAUUAUUGCUGUUUACAGUUUAUCUCUGUCUAUAAUAAUAUUCAAGAUAAUAACUCAAAACAGCAAAAUUUCCUUAAAAUUACCAAUUUAGGGGCAGCAACCUAACAACGAGUUGUCCGAUUCAUCUAAAAAUUUCAGGGCAGAUAGAUCUUGACCAGAUAAACAAUUUUACCCCAUGUCAGAUUUGCUCUAAAUGCUUUGGUUUUGAGUAAUAACCAAAAACUGCAUUUAACCUCCAUGUUCUAUUUUUAGCCAUGGCGGCCAUCUUGGUUGGUUGGCCGGGUAAAAAAACACAAAUUUUUAACUAGAUACAUCAAUGAUGAUUGUGGUCAAGUUUGGUUUAAUUUGGCCCGGUAGUUUCAGAGGAGAAGAUUUUUGUAAAAGAUCAUGGAGAUUUACGAAAAUGGUUAAAAAUUGACUAUAAAGGACAAUAACUCCUAAAGGGGUCAACUGACCAUUUUGGUCAUGUUGACUUAUUUGUAAAUCUUACUUUGCUGAACAUUAUUGCUGUUUACAGUUUAUCUCCAUCUAUA